GGGCUCCCAAAAGAUCUUAUAGGGCAGCGUAAGGGGAGUGUCUAGGGGUACGCACAGGCUUACGCACAGGCUCACGAUUGGUGUGCUUCCAGGCUUGGAGGGCUUGCCCUGUGUUGAUUGGUCAACUGGUUGUUAUGGCCCAUAGGCCCUCCCAGGGUGGUUGCUAUGCUCUCUACGUCAUUGUCGUGCGCUUGUCCGGAAAGCACACCCAGGGUCGUAAAGCAUAGUGCCACCAGCUAACUUCUGAUUGGUUCCUUGUUACAAGACAGGCAUCUGACCUCUAAGUGACCAAGGCAGGUUUAUGGCAAGCACGUGUUCGGCUGUUAUGGCUGCCAAAAGGGAAGCCGGUUCCUUCAUUCCCCCAUUUUCUUUUUUGGAAAUUCCAAUCAUGGAAUUGCUGUCUCUCUAGCAUCCCCAUUAGGGAGUGAUAGAUAUUGGCAUCCCCAUGUAAGGGAGUUCCCUUUGACUUAGCAUUUUAACCCGGGAAAAUGGACGGCGAAAUUCUUUCCAAACUGCUUCCUGCUGACUUUGGGACGAAGUUAGGGACCCCAGAAGGUUGAAAUGCUAGUCAAAAGCAAAAAGGAAUUUAGGCAAUGGGGAAUUUAUCAGGGGCUUCUGGUUAGCACACACUGUUGCAGAGACAGGGGGUGUUAUGGCAAGCACGUGUUCGGCCAUUAUGACUGCCGAAAGGGGAGCUGGUCCCUUCAAUAUUAC
rnacentral:lncRNA from 1 species